AGAUCCUGGCUCAGGAUGAACGCUAGCUACAGGCUUAACACAUGCAAGGUCGAGGGGAAACGACAUCGAAGCUUGCUUUUGAUGGGCGUCGACCGGCGCACGGGUGAGUAACGCGUAUCCAACCUGCCCACACUUGGGGAUAACCUUGCGAAAGUAAGACUAAUACCCAAUGAUAUCUCUAGAAGACAUCUGAAAGAGAUUAAAGAUUUAUCGGUGAUGGAUGGGGAUGCGUCUGAUUAGCUUGUUGGCGGGGUAACGGCCCACCAAGGCGACGAUCAGUAGGGGUUCUGAGAGGAAGGUCCCCCACAUUGGAACUGAGACACGGUCCAAACUCCUACGGGAGGCAGCAGUGAGGAAUAUUGGUCAAUGGGCGAGAGCCUGAACCAGCCAAGUAGCGUGCAGGAUGACGGCCCUAUGGGUUGUAAACUGCUUUUAUAAGGGAAUAAAGUGAGUCUCGUGAGGCUUUUUGCAUGUACCUUAUGAAUAAGGACCGGCUAAUUCCGUG
rnacentral:rRNA from 1 species